GAUGAACGCUGGCGGCGUGCCUAAUACAUGCAAGUCGAGCGAACAGACGAGGAUCUUGCUCCUCUGACGUUAGCGGCGGACGGGUGAGUAACACGUGGAUAACCUACCUUUAAGACUUGGAUCACUUCGGGAAACCGGAGCUAAUACCGGAUAAUAUAUUGAACCGCAUGGUUCAAUAGUGAAAGACGGUUUUGCUGUCACUUAUAGAUGUAUCCCCGCCGCAUUAGCUAGUUGGUAAGGUAACGGCUUACCAAGGCAACGAUGCGUAGCCGACCUGAGAGGUUGUUCGCCAACCCGGAAGCUGAGACGCGGACCAGACACGUACGAGAGGCAGCAGUAGGAAAUCUUCCGCAAGGGGAGAAAGCCGAAGAGAGCAACGCGGCGUGAGUGAUGAGGGACUCCGGAGCGUAAACCUCGAUUUUUAGGGAAGAACAAGGGUGUGAAGAGCCUUGCCCGGCUUGAGGGAACCAGGUUAGAGAGCGACGGCUAACUAGGUG
rnacentral:rRNA from 1 species